CGGGGCGCUGGCCCGCGUCCUUCCCGCGGCCGGACCCCAAAGGCUGACAAAGAAUAAACAAAAAUUUCAGUAGGAGAAAAACGUCCUAAAAGGCAAGCCGAGUUACAGAGACAACAUUCCUGGCCAGGAGAACCCUUGCUGGGAUCUAUAACUUCAACGCGCUCCAAGUUUCCUCGAUAGAAGUUUCUGGCUGACAGUUCCAACAUGUAACUGAGGCAGAGUGAAGAAGUUAUUGUUCCGAGUGUGUACUCUUGGGAAGCUCUCUUCCAGAGAAGAUUAAAAUCUUUCUUUUGGUGUAUUAAAAGAUAGACCUCACAUCUGCCACUUCCCAAAACAGCAAAGAUUCUGACUUUUAAUUGAAUCUCAAGAAAAAGGAAAAGGGUUUUUUUAAAAGAGCACUGGCACGUCGCCCUGGUUUUUGUUGUUGCUGUUUUUUUUUUUUUUUUUAAAUGGGGAAAAGUAAUUUAAUGCUGAUAUUUCUACUUUAAGAACUUCUUUUGUUGCAGCAGUGGAUGUGCCCGCGAUUUCCAGCUUUCUGCGGUUAGCAAUAUUAUCUUAAGUAACUUUUGGCGCCCUUCGUAAGACUUUUGGAUAUGGGACGAUUGUUUGCGCCCUCUAGGCAAGGGCUGGAUCCAAGUUCAGCACCAAAGCCCUUCACAUCCGCUCCUGCUUUCCCUGCUAUCUCCGCCAGCUCCCGCUCCCUCCCCCGCGGGAGGGCGGUGGGGUGGAGAGGCGGGGGAAGCUCUACGAAGCUCAGCUCCAACUGCAGCAUUUGGAAACCGGACCGAGAAAAAUACAGUAGAAGAGUUACAGUUACA